UUUCCGUAGGUGAACCUGCGGAAGGAUCAUUAAAAAAUUGGACUCCAUUGGUGAGUUCAUUAAUAAUCCCUACCCUUUGCGAAUUUGUUUGUUUGAAUAAUUUUUUUUCCAAAAAAAAUUAUUGAAUGUCUUUCCUUGUUUUGGUGGAGCUUGUAAAGUGAAACCAGGCAGGGGAAUGGCAAACAAUAAUUAUUUUUGAAAAAGACCUUUUUUUAAAAUUAAACUUUUUGUAUUCAUUUGUCUAAAAUUAAUUUUUAUAAUAUAAAAACAACUUUUGACAAUGGAUCUCUUGGUUCUCGCAACGAUGAAGAACGCAGCAAAAUGCGAUAAGUAGUGUGAAUUGCAGAAUACGUGAAUCAUCGAAUCUUCGAACGCAUAUUGCACUUUUUUAGUUUACUAAAAAAGUAUGUCUGUUUGAGUAUCAGUAAAAUAUUCUCAUAAAAAACAUUGUUUUUUUUAUGGUUAUGAGUGUUUUACAACGAUAACAAGUUGUUUCACUUUAAAUUCUUUGUUAUCAAAAAAAUCAUUAAAAGCCAAUUUUAAAGAUUUUUUAAAAUUGGAUAAAAUUUUCCCGUAAAAAGGAAUAACCUAAACAAUUUUAAAAAAUUAAAAUUGGUUUGAUUUUUUUGAAACCCAAAGGAAAAAAAACGAAAUUAACUUGAUCUCAAAUCAGAUAAGAGUACCCGCUGAACUUAAGCAUAUCAAUAAGCGGAGGAAAAGAAACUAACUAGGAUUCCCUCAGUAACGGCGAGUGAAGCGGGAAGAGCUCAAAUUUGAAAUCUUCAAGGUUUUACCUUGACGAAUUGUAGUUUAAAGAAGUGUUUUCUGUUGGAGUUUUGGUAAAAGUUCUUUGGAAAAGGACAUCAUAGAGGGUGAGAAUCCCGUAUUUGACCAUUAUCUCCAGCUUUGUGAUACACUUUCAAAGAGUCGGAUUGUUUGGGAAUGCAGUCCAAAAUGGGUGGUAAAUUUCAUCUAAAGCUAAAUACUGGCGAGAGACCGAUAGCGAACAAGUACUGUGAGGGAAAGAUGAAAAGAACUUUGAAAAGAGAGUUAAACAGUACGUGAAAUUGUCAAAAGGGAAGCGUUUGACACCAGUGUUGUUUUCUCGAAAAUCAAUUAAAAAAGGCCGGAUUUUGUGUUGUAUUGACUUUAUCAGCUUUCUGCACUCUUUUCUUGUCUUUUUUAAUGCACUUUUCGUUUAACAAGUCAACAUCAAUUUCUUUUGUUGUAAAAGGGUCAUUGGAAGGUGGCUUUCUUUUCGGAGAAAGUGUUUAUAGCCUUUGGCCUCUGCAAUCGGAGAGAUUGAGGUCUGCAGCGUAGAUCCUUCGGGGUUAGAUACAUUUGUGCUAAGUUAUAGCCUUUCAUAGACAACUUGUUGACUAUGAUCAGUCAUGUAGCUUACUCGCUUAUGCUAUUUUACCUACGCUUAGGAUGUUGAG
rnacentral:misc_RNA from 1 species